CAACCCUCAAGCUCUGCUUGGUGUUGGGUGUUUGUCCCGCCUGUGUGUGCGGACUCGCCUUAAAAGAAUUGGUAGCCCGUUGCCUUGGCUUGGAGCGCAGCAGAAUCAGCGCCCUGAGACGCAAAGCAACUGGCUUCCAGAAGCUCUUUUCCAU
rnacentral:misc_RNA from 1 species